AGAGUUUGAUCCUGGCUCAGGAUGAACGCUGGCGGCGUGCCUAAUACAUGCAAGUCGAACGAGGUGCUUUUGUAGCAAUACGAGAGUAUCCUAGUGGCGAACGGGUGAGUAACGCGUUGGUGACCUACCCCAAAGUGUGGGAUAACAGUCCGAAAGGAUUGCUAAUACCGCAUGUGGUCAUUGGAUUUAGAAACCGAUGUCUAAAGGAGCAAUUCGCUUUGGGAGGGACCUGCGUCCCAUCAGCUAGUUGGUGAGGUAACGGCUCACCAAGGCGACGACGGGUAGGGGACCUGAGAGGGUGACCCCCCACAAUGGAACUGAAACACGGUCCAUACACCUACGGGUGGCAGCAGUAGGGAAUAUUGCUCAAUGGGCGAAAGCCUGAAGCAGCAACGCCGCGUGUGUGAUGAAGGCCUUCGGGUCGUAAAGCACUUUUCUGGGAGAUGAGAAAGGACAGUAUCCCAGGAAUAAGUCUCGGCUAACUACGUGCCAGCCGCCGCGGUAAUUC
rnacentral:rRNA from 1 species